GACGAACGCUGGCGGCGUGCCUAAUACAUGCAAGUCGAGCGAACCGACGGGAGCUUGCUCCCUUAGGUUAGCGGCGGACGGGUGAGUAACACGUGGGUAACCUGCCUGUAAGACUGGGAUAACUCCGGGAAACCGGGGCUAAUACCGGAUGCUUGAUUGAACCGCAUGGUUCAAUUAUAAAAGGUGGCUUUUAGCUACCACUUACAGAUGGACCCGCGGCGCAUUAGCUAGUUGGUGAGGUAACGGCUCACCAAGGCGACGAUGCGUAGCCGACCUGAGAGGGUGAUCGGCCACACUGGGACUGAGACACGGCCCAGACUCCUACGGGAGGCAGCAGUAGGGAAUCUUCCGCAAUGGACGAAAGUCUGACGGAGCAACGCCGCGUGAGUGACGAAGGCCUUCGGGUCGUAAAGCUCUGUUGUUAGGGAAGAACAAGUACCGUUCGAAUAGGGCGGUACCUUGACGGUACCUAACCAGAAAGCCACGGCUAACUACGUGCCAGCAGCCGCGGUAAUACGUAGGUGGCAAGCGUUGUCCGGAAUUAUUGGGCGUAAAGCGCGCGCAGGCGGUUUCUUAAGUCUGAUGUGAAAGCCCCCGGCUCAACCGGGGAGGGUCAUUGGAAACUGGGGAACUUGAGUGCAGAAGAGGAGAGUGGAAUUCCACGUGUAGCGGUGAAAUGCGUAGAGAUGUGGAGGAACACCAGUGGCGAAGGCGACUCUCUGGUCUGUAACUGACGCUGAGGCGCGAAAGCGUGGGGAGCGAACAGGAUUAGAUACCCUGGUAGUCCACGCCGUAAACGAUGAGUGCUAAGUGUUAGAGGGUUUCCGCCCUUUAGUGCUGCAGCAAACGCAUUAAGCACUCCGCCUGGGGAGUACGGUCGCAAGACUGAAACUCAAAGGAAUUGACGGGGGCCCGCACAAGCGGUGGAGCAUGUGGU
rnacentral:rRNA from 1 species